rnacentral:rRNA from 1 species
GUAUGUUCAUAUAUCGCCCUGAGCAUACCUAAUUUCAUCUGAUUUCAGAAAUGAAGCAGAUUUAGGCCUGGUUAAUGCUUUGAUGGGUAACCACCAGGGAAUGCAAGGCAUCCC